AAAUUGAAGAGUUUGAUCAUGGCUCAGAUUGAACGCUGGCGGCAGGCCUAACACAUGCAAGUCGAACGGUAACAGGAAGCAGCUUGCUGCUUCGCUGACGAGUGGCGGACGGGUGAGUAAUGUCUGGGAAACUGCCUGAUGGAGGGGGAUAACUACUGGAAACGGUAGCUAAUACCGCAUAAUGUCGCAAGACCAAAGAGGGGGACCUUCGGGCNNNNNNNNNNGGGGGACCUUCGGGCCUCUUGCCAUCGGAUGUGCCCAGAUGGGAUUAGCUAGUAGGUGGGGUAACGGCUCACCUAGGCGACGAUCCCUAGCUGGUCUGAGAGGAUGACCAGCCACACUGGAACUGAGACACGGUCCAGACUCCUACGGGAGGCAGCAGUGGGGAAUAUUGCACAAUGGGCGCAAGCCUGAUGCAGCCAUGCCGCGUGUAUGAAGAAGGCCUUCGGGUUGUAAAGUACUUUCAGCGGGGAGGAAGGGAGUAAAGUUAAUACCUUUGCUCAUUGACGUUACCCGCAGAAGAAGCACCGGCUAACUCCGUGCCAGCAGCCGCGGUAAUACGGAGGGUGCAAGCGUUAAUCGGAAUUACUGGGCGUAAAGCGCACGCAGGCGGUUUGUUAAGUCAGAUGUGAAAUCCCCGGGCUCAACCUGGGAACUGCAUCUGAUACUGGCAAGCUUGAGUCUCGUAGAGGGGGGUAGAAUUCCAGGUGUAGCGGUGAAAUGCGUAGAGAUCUGGAGGAAUACCGGUGGCGAAGGCGGCCCCCUGGACGAAGACUGACGCUCAGGUGCGAAAGCGUGGGGAGCAAACAGGAUUAGAUACCCUGGUAGUCCACGCCGUAAACGAUGUCGACUUGGAGGUUGUGCCCUUGAGGCGUGGCUUCCGGAGCUAACGCGUUAAGUCGACCGCCUGGGGAGUACGGCCGCAAGGUUAAAACUCAAAUGAAUUGACGGGGGCCCGCACAAGCGGUGGAGCAUGUGGUUUAAUUCGAUGCAACGCGAAGAACCUUACCUGGUCUUGACAUCCACGGAAGUUUUCAGAGAUGAGAAUGUGCCUUCGGGAACCGUGAGACAGGUGCUGCAUGGCUGUCGUCAGCUCGUGUUGUGAAAUGUUGGGUUAAGUCCCGCAACGAGCGCAACCCUUAUCCUUUGUUGCCAGCGGUCCGGCCGGGAACUCAAAGGAGACUGCCAGUGAUAAACUGGAGGAAGGUGGGGAUGACGUCAAGUCAUCAUGGCCCUUACGACCAGGGCUACACACGUGCUACAAUGGCGCAUACAAAGAGAAGCGACCUCGCGAGAGCAAGCGGACCUCAUAAAGUGCGUCGUAGUCCGGAUUGGAGUCUGCAACUCGACUCCAUGAAGUCGGAAUCGCUAGUAAUCGUGGAUCAGAAUGCCACGGUGAAUACGUUCCCGGGCCUUGUACACACCGCCCGUCACACCAUGGGAGUGGGUUGCAAAAGAAGUAGGUAGCUUAACCUUCGGGAGGGCGCUUACCACUUUGUGAUUCAUGACUGGGGUGAAGUCGUAACAAGGUAACCGUAGGGGAACCUGCGGUUGGAUCACCUCCUUACCUUAAAGAAGC
rnacentral:rRNA from 1 species